CCUGGUGGCCCGUGAGGGCGACCGCGUGAAGAAGCUCAUCAACUCACAGAUCAGCCUCCUCAUCGGCAAAGGUAGCUCUGCCGAGUGGGCCGUGUGGCCGGGCUGGCCCUGCCUGCCCCACCCGCUGACCCAGCCCUCCCCACCCCGCAGGCCUCCACGAGUUUGACUCCUUGUGCGACCCAGAAGUGAACGACUUUCGCGCCAAGAUGUGCCAAUUCUGCGAGGAGGCGGCCGCCCGCCGGCAGCAGCUGGGCUGGGAGGCCUGGCUGCAGUACAGUUUCCCCCUGCAGCUGGAGCCCUCGGCUCGAACCUGGGGGCCUGGCACCCUGCGGCUCCCGAACCGGGCCCUUCUGGUCAACGUUAAGUUUGAGGGCAGCGAGGUGAGCCCAUGCGUGGCCUGCGGCAUCCAGGCUGCUCUGUCCAUGGGGAGCACUUCCUCUGUGAAACUCCUCAGUCAUCCGCAAG
rnacentral:sRNA from 1 species